rnacentral:rRNA from 1 species
GACGAACCGUGCAAACGUUGUUCGGAAUUACUGGGCGUAAAGGCGCGAUGUAGGCGGUUCCGCAAGUCAGGUGUGAAAGCCCAGGGCUCAACCCUGGAAGUGACACUUGAUACUACGGAGCUUGAGUACUGAAGAGGAGAGCGGAAUUCCCGGUGUAGAGGUGAAAUUCGUAGAUAUCGGGAGGAACACCAGUGGCGAAGGCGGCUCUCGUGGGCAGAUACGUGACGCUGAGAC